rnacentral:rRNA from 1 species
UCGCCUGUUUUACAAAAACAUAGCUUUAUGAUUUUAAUAUUAAGUUUGACCUGCCCAGUGAUUAAUUUUAAACGGCCGCAGUACUUUGACUGUGCUAAGGUAGCAUAAUAAAUUGUCUUUUAAUUAAAGUCUGGAAUAAAAGGAUUAAUGAAUAUAAGCUGUCUUAAUUGUAAUUAAAUGAAUUUACUUAUAAGGUGAAAAUUCCUUAAACUUUUUUAAUAGACGAGAAGACCCUAGGAGUUUUAAUUUUUGUUGGGGCGACACUAUAACAUUUAAACUUAUAGUAAUUUAUAAAAUACAACGAUUUUAAUAAUAAUAUUUUAACUACCCUAGGGAUAACAGCAUAAUUAUAUAAUUAGAUUGUGACCUCGAUGUUGGACUAGGAACUUUUAAUAUUUAGUUAUAUUAAUAGAUUUGUUCUGUUCGAACAUUUUAUACCUACGUGAUCUGAUUCAGA